rnacentral:misc_RNA from 1 species
UACGGAGGGUGCGAGCGUUGUUCGGAAUUACUGGGCGUAAAGCGCGCGCAGGCGGGACCUGCAAGUCGGAAGUGAAAUCCCGGGGCUCAACUCCGGGGCUGCUUUCGAAACUGCGGACCUAGAGACCCGUAGGGGUUGCUGGAAUUCCCAGUGUAGCGGUGAAAUGCGUAGAUAUUGGGAAGAACACCCGUGGCGAAGGCGGCGAACUGGGCUGCAUCUGACGCUGAGGCGCGAAAGCGUGGGGAGCAAACGGG